rnacentral:rRNA from 1 species
GACAGAGGAGCCAAGCGUUGUCCGGAUUGACUGGGCGUAAAGCGCACGCAGGCGGACGCGCGCGUGGGGUGUGAAAUCUGGCCGCUUAACGGCCAGGCGCCAUCCCAUACGGCGCGUCUGGAGUGAUGCAGAGGUCGAUGGAAUUGCCGGUGUAGUGGUGAAAUGCGUUAGAGAUCGGCAGGAACACCCAGGGGGGAAACC